AUUGAACGCUGGCGGCAGGCCUAACACAUGCAAGUCGAGCGGAUGACGGGAGCUUGCUCCUUGAUUCAGCGGCGGACGGGUGAGUAAUGCCUAGGAAUCUGCCUGGUAGUGGGGGACAACGUUUCGAAAGGAACGCUAAUACCGCAUACGUCCUACGGGAGAAAGCAGGGGACCUUCGGGCCUUGCGCUAUCAGGUGAGCCUCGGUCGGAUUAGCUAGUUGGUGGGGUAAUGGCUCACCAAGGCGACGAUCCGUAACUGGUCUGAGAGGAUGAUCAGUCACACUGGAACUGAGACACGGUCCAGACUCCUACGGGAGGCAGCAGUGGGGAAUAUUGGACAAUGGGCGAAAGCCUGAUCCAGCCAUGCCGCGUGUGUGAGGAAGGUCUUCGGACUGUAAAGCACUUUAAGUUGGGAGGAAGGGCAGUAAGUUAAUACCUUGCUGUUUUGACGUUACCGACAGAAUAAGCACCGGCUAACUCUGUGCCAGCCGCCGCCGUAA
rnacentral:rRNA from 1 species